UGGCCUCACCUGCCAUUCUCAUGGGUACCUUCCGUCCCACCCCCCAUACUCCUGGCCGAUGCAGCUACGGGCUGGAAACUUCUCCCAAAAAGCCAGGCCCGUUCAGCUGGGAGCCCCCACAAAAUGAGAAUGAGGGGAUUGAAAGUGUUUUUGUUCGAAGAGCUCUGGCAUGGAGGCCACAGUCCUUCCAUGAAAUGUAACAAAGCGGGGCAGUCCACUCCUGAACACUUACCAGCACUGUACAGCAGAAGCUGCUUGGGAUGAGCGACUGCUACAGGAGGAAAAUGAAGUAGGAAACUACAUAAAAAUCCAGCUUUCCUGUGAGUAUAAAAAAGGAAGAAAAGGGUUAUAGACAAGAGAUGCCCAAGAGAGACAAGAAUUAUGAAGACAACCAAAUGUUCUCUAUCAGCCAAAGCCAAAAUGAACAUGUGCCUUGUACUAAGAAAUCCCAGGAUUGUCACAACUUGUGCCAGCUGUUGAGGUUGUGACACCUGUGCCAGCAUCGCCAGCUCUGCCCACUGUCAUCUGUUCCAACUGUUCCAUCUGCACUGUUUGUACCAAUUCUCCCAUUUCUGCAUCUGCACCUUCUGCAGAAACGUUUCCAACAAUGCCAGCUGUGUCAUUGGUGCCAAAUAUGCCAGAUGUUCUAUUUGUCCACCCUGGGCCAAAUCAAUGCAGUUUUGUGCUCAUUAGUUUUAGCUGGUAGAUUCUAUUUUACAAUUUUUUGAUUUGUAUUUUGAUUGAAUCCAGGCAAAAUCCCCCUUUCAACGAUUUUGUGUCUAUCUAUCCAUCUCUUUGCAACCCCAACUUUAUAUCUGACAACAUGAAGUUGGUCAAUGUUAUUCUGAUCUUAUUAAA